CUCAAGGCAGGCCCCUCACAAGGCCUGGAGGAUUGAUACAUGGUGCACUGGCCCGACAUCCCUGCAGGACUACGCAUAUCAAUUCCCGAGCAUCGGGGUGGGGUGAGCAGACCAACCCAAGCCCAGGACUGAUGGACUGUUGCCAGCCACCACCGUUAACCGCUACCAUAACCCGCAACCUACCAAAGUCUGACCGGCUCACUGUGCUACACAGCUUCACAUGCCUCUCAUACAGCAUGGAUCUAC